AUGCCUUCCUCCUCAGGACCUUCCUCCCUGACAAUGCCUUCCUUCCUGGCAAUGCCUCAGGUUCCAUCCGAGAUAAGUCAGGAGGGAAGCAUAUCGGAGCAACAACAGAUAGGGAGUGAAGAGGAGGAAUCAUGGCUCGACCCCAGGGUCAAUAGUCCAAGAACCAAAUGCACGCCUGGAAUUGGAGAUCUUGAAGUGCCAUUGACAUGUAAGGACAGAGAACCAAGUUCUGGGGCAAGGGUCCAGGUCAUAAAUGACACACUGCUCUGAUGUCUGCAAUGAUCUGUCAUUAUUUUGUACUUCUGUCUGUGCAAAUACAAGACAUGUUCCAACUGUUCCAUACUUAAUUAUGCCAUACAUACAAUGGGCGUGUUGACAUCAUUGAUCUUGGCUUUAAAAGCUAUGUUUUAAAAUGUAACAACCAUAUGAUAUACUCACAUUUUUCUGUUCUGUUCUUGUUGAUGCCAGCUUUGAAACAACAUCCCAAUUUGUGUUGAGCCAGUUCCUCUUUAUAUUUCAGUUGGGCACAAUAGUUUAUUCUUCUUCUCAGCCAUAGUUAGCCCAGUACUUAGUACUUAGCAGUCUUGUCAAAUGCUAGUAGACAACUUCAAAAAACAGGAUACUUUAUCCCUUUGGACUGUUGUAUAUUUUUUAGUUUGAUUAGAUCCUGCUUGAACUUUCCCAAAUAUUUUACUAAACCACAGAAAGCUGAAAAUGUUUUUAAUGUAACAAUGGAAAAUAGACCUAUGUAGUCAAAAUUUGCUACAUUUUGGUGUGUUAGAUAUAUCUAACAUGAUGUACAAAUAGCAGUGCAAUCAUUUUACUUUUAUACCUUUUCUUCUGCUUCCAUUAGGUUUUAUUGGAUUGUUCUCAGUAGUCUUUCACAAAGCGAGGCCUGUGGUAGAACUCCUAUAACUGGGAAUGUGAUAUUUUGCUUCUUUAUUAAUGUUCUUUUGAAAGUCACUUUCUGGCCAGCUGAAAAUAAUUUUCCUUCUUUUAAUAUUGUUAACAAUCAAAUUGUUCACAGGGUUUUACUUUAAUAUUUAAUUUGAGUACUAAUUAAAAAUGAAUAUGACCCCAGAAGGUUCACCACAGCUGCGUUCAUUUAGCUCUACCCAUCCACCAAUACCAUUCAAAUGAUAUCAACAUUAUAUGGCUUCUUAUUUUUACACUCUAACUGCCCCCAAGUAUAGAAGAGCUUUCUCCCUAGCUUGUUUCAACGUCUUGCCCUCAGCACUACUGGACGGGCGAUUCAAGAGGCUCCCGAUUAGCUAGCGGCUAUGCCCCUGUGACAGAGCUGAGGUUGAAACUGUGGAGCAUGUCUUUUUAUACUGCCCCAUGUAUAACGCAGGCAGAACUAAGUUACUGUCUCUCCUUGAAAUAGACCCCACCAGACCCGAUGCUAAUAAUUUGUUCUUAUAUUGUCUAGGGGAUGGCUCUUCAUACAUCACUUCUCAGGUUUCCAAUUUUUUUUUAAGAGCUGUAACCAUCAGAGGAGAAUGCUGUAAUUCCGCUCAGUCAAAGUUUCUGGUGACCAAUUGUUCAUGCUUUUAUUUUUCCCAUGUUCUUUUAUUAUACUUGUAUUUUGGUCUGUG
rnacentral:lncRNA from 1 species